ACAUGCAAGUCGAACGAUGAUCCGGUGCUUGCACCGGGGAUUAGUGGCGAACGGGUGAGUAACACGUGAGUAACCUGCCCUUAACUCUGGGAUAAGCCUGGGAAACUGGGUCUAAUACCGGAUAUGACUCCUCAUCGCAUGGUGGGGGGUGGAAAGCUUUUUGUGGUUUUGGAUGGACUCGCGGCCUAUCAGCUUGUUGGUGAGGUAAUGGCUCACCAAGGCGACGACGGGUAGCCGGCCUGAGAGGGUGACCGGCCACACUGGGACUGAGACACGGCCCAGACUCCUACGGGAGGCAGCAGUGGGGAAUAUUGCACAAUGGGCGCAAGCCUGAUGCAGCGACGCCGCGUGAGGGAUGACGGCCUUCGGGUUGUAAACCUCUUUCAGUAGGGAAGAAGCGAAAGUGACG
rnacentral:rRNA from 1 species